UAAUACGAAGGGGGCUAGCGUUGUUCGGAAUUACUGGGCGUAAAGGGCGCGCAGGCGGCCGCUCAAGUCAGGUGUGAAAGCCCCGGGCUCAACCUGGGAACUGCACUUGAUACUGAGUGGCUAGAGUUCGGGAGAGGAGAGUGGAAUUCCCAGUGUAGAGGUGAAAUUCGUAGAUAUUGGGAAGAACACCGGUGGCGAAGGCGGCUCUCUGGACCGAUACUGACGCUGAGGCGCGAAAGCGUGGGGAGCAAACAGGAUUAGAUACCCUGGUAGUCCACGCCGUAAACGAUGUGCGCUAGACGUUGGGGGGCCUAGCCCUCCGGUGUCGCAGCUAACGCGAUAAGCGCACCGCCUGGGGAGUACGGCCGCAAGGUUA
rnacentral:rRNA from 1 species